CUACGGGAGGCACCAGUGGGGAAUAUUGCACAAUGGGCGCAAGCCUGAUGCAGCAACGCCGCGUGAGGGAUGAAGGCCUUUGGGUUGUAAACCUCUUUUAGCAGGGAAGAAGCGAAAGUGACGGUACCUGCAGAAAAAGCACCGGCUAACUACGUGCCAGCAGCCGCGGUAAUACGUAGGGUGCAAGCGUUGUCCGGAAUUAUUGGGCGUAAAGAGCUCGUAGGCGGUUUGUCACGUCUGCUGUGAAAACCCAAGGCUCAACCUUGGACUUGCAGUGGGUACGGGCAGGCUAGAGUGCGGGAGGGGAGAUGGGAAUUCCUGGUGUAGCGGUGGAAUGCGCAGAUAUCAGGAGGAACACCAAUGGCGAAGGCACAUCUCUGGGCCGUAACUGACGCUGAGGAGCGAAAGCGUGGGGAGCGAACAGGAUUAGAUACCCGUGUAGUC
rnacentral:rRNA from 1 species